UACGUAGGUGGCGAGCGUUGUCCGGAUUUACUGGGCGUAAAGAGCGCGCAGGCGGUCGUUCAAGUCGCGUGUGAAAGCCCCCGGCUCAACUGGGGAGGGUCACGCGAUACUGAUCGACUCGAAGGCAGGAGAGGGAAGUGGAAUUCCCGGUGUAGUGGUGAAAUGCGUAGAGAUCCGGAGGAACCCCAGAGGCGAAGGCGGUGCCCUGGCUCGCAACUGACGCUCAGACACGACAGCAUGGGGAGCGAACGGG
rnacentral:rRNA from 1 species